GUACUUUUAUGCUGUGUCAUAACAGAGCAGAGAAGGUCAAAGCGGAAGUGGACAUGUGGUGGAAAGAGCUCCUGUGUCUGGAUAAAGCCAAGGCAAUUCUUUGGAUGUCAAUCAUUUUGAAGGGCGACUUUCUUGCAUGACUUGCUUGCCUGCUGUGUUCAUCAGACUGCCCAGUGGAACAGAAGG